CCUACGGGAGGCAGCAGUGAGGAAUAUUGGUCAAUGGACGCAAGUCUGAACCAGCCAUGCCGCGUGCAGGAAGACGGCUCUAUGAGUUGUAAACUGCUUUUGUACGAGGGUAAACGCAGAUACGCGUAUCUGUCUGCAAGUAUCGUACGAAUAAGGAUCGGCUAACUCCGUGCCAGCAGCCGCGGUAAUACGGAGGAUUCAAGCGUUAUCCGGAUUUAUUGGGUUUAAAGGGUGCGUAGGCGGUCGGCUAAGUUAGAGGUGAAAUCCCGGGGCUCAACUUCGGAAUUGACUCUGAUACUGGUGGGCUGGAGAGGAGGUGGGGGAGGCGGAAUGGAUGGUGUAGCGGUGAAAUGCGUAGAGAUCAUAAAGAACACCGAUUGCGAAGGCAGCUUACCAAGCUACGUCUGACGUUGAGGCACGAAAGCGUGGGGAGCAAACAGGAUUAGAUACCCUAGUAGUC
rnacentral:rRNA from 1 species